rnacentral:rRNA from 1 species
CAGUCGCCGCGGGAAUACGUAGGGUGCAAGCGUUAAUCGGAAUUACUGGGCGUAAAGCGCACGUAGGCGGACUUUUAAGUCAGGGGUGAAAUCCCGGGGCUCAACCCCGGAACUGCCUUUGAUACUGGGAGUCUUGAGUUCGAGAGAGGUGAGUGGAAUUGCGAGUGUAGAGGUGAAAUUCGUAGAUAUUCGCAGGAACACCAGUGGCGAAGGCGGCUCACUGGCUCGAUACUGGCGCUGAGGUGCGAAAGCGUGGGGAGCAAACAGGAUUAGAUACCCCCGUAGUCCCUGUCUCUUAUAC